rnacentral:rRNA from 1 species
CUUGGUCAUUUAGAGGAAGUAAAAGUCGUAACAAGGUUUCCGUAGGUGAACCUGCGGAAGGAUCAUUCAUAAUAAGUGUUUUAUGGCACUUUUUUAAAUCCAUAUCCACCUUGUGUGCAAUGUCAGGGUUGGUCUCUUGAAAAAGAGAUCAGCCCCAAACAUCAACCCAAUCUUAACUCUUUGUCUGAAAAAUAUUAUAAAUAAAACAAUUCAAAAUACAACUUUCAACAACGGAUCUCUUGGCUCUCGCAUCGAUGAAGAACGCAGCGAAAUGCGAUACGUAAUGUGAAUUGCAGAAUUCAGUGAAUCAUCGAAUCUUUGAACGCAUAUUGCGCUCUUUGGUAUUCCGAAGAGCAUGCUUGUUUGAGUAUCAGUAAACACCUCAAAGCCUUUUUUUGUUAAGAGGCCUUGGACUUGAGCAAUCCCAACACUUUUCCUCCAAGAAAAGUGGCGGGUUGCUUGAAAUGCAGGUGCAGCUGGACAUUCUCCUGAGCUAAAAGCAUAUUCAUUUAGUCCCGUCAAACGGAUUAUUACUUUUGCUGCAGCUAACAUAAAGGGAGUUUGACCAUUUUGGCUGACUGAUGCAGGAUUUUCACAAGAGUCUUCAAAAGCUUUUGUUAAACUCGAUCUCAAAUCAAGUAAGACUACCCGCUGAACUUAAGCAUAUCAAUAAGCGGAGGA